rnacentral:rRNA from 1 species
CUAGCAGUAUCAGAGUUUGAUCCUGGCUCAGGACGAACGCUGGCGGCGUGCUUAACACAUGCAAGUCGAGCGGUAAGGCUCCUUCGGGAGUACACGAGCGGCGAACGGGUGAGUAACACGUGAGCAAUCUGCCCUUCACUUUGGGAUAACCACCGGAAACGGUGGCUAAUACCGAAUGCGACCACCUCCGGCAUCGGAUGGUGGUGGAAAGUUCCGGCGGUGAAGGAUGAGCUCGCGGCCUAUCAGCUUGUUGGUGAGGUAAUGGCUCACCAAGGCUUCGACGGGUAGCCGGCCUGAGAGGGUGACCGGCCACACUGGGACUGAGACACGGCCCAG